rnacentral:tRNA from 1 species
GCCCGGGUGGCGGAAUUGGCAGACGCAGUGGACUCAAAAUCCACCGGGGGCAACCCCUUGCGAGUUCGACUCUCGCCCCGGGCA